ACACCACAAGUUCAAAAGUCUUCUCUCUCUUCUUAAACUCCGUGCCUAGUCAAAUGAGUUCACAUAAAUUGAAACGGAGGGAGUACUAAUUUUUAUAUAUACUUUUAAGACUUUAUAUAGAAUUUUCUUUAAAAAAUGUCAAAAUGUUUGGGAUCCUCCCGUGGAAUGUGAUAUUUAAUAUAUCUAUGAAGUGCGUUAUUUUUAUUUACUUUAAAUAAUGGGUUGUAUCAUCACUUUCUUAUCAAGUGUUAUUGAAAUGCGUCAAUCUCUUUGUUCUUUCAUAUUCAUAUGUAAAGAUAUGUUAAAUCUUAUAUCUUUUUCAAAUUUGAAAUGAUAUUUAAUAAUUUUAAAAUUAAAUAGAGCAUAUCAUUAUUUAAGUUUCAUAUUGAUUUUUAUGUUUAAUUAUUAAAUUCGAUCGGUUAACCUUGAAAGCAUACAUCAACGGAAAAUUAUUAUUAGACGGCUAAAAAAUAACUAUCACGUGUUAUUAAAAAAAUUCUCCCAUAAGAAUAUUUUAAUAGAUCAUAUGUUUGUUAGUUUUUUCGAUCUUUACUAAACAUAUAUUCACUUAUUAAAACUUUAUCUAUAACUUAAACAAAUUAAGAUUGAAAUAAUAUUAAUGUAACAAAAAACUCGAAAAAUCUAAAAAAGUUGAUAAAAUCGAAUAAAUCCAAACCGAUAUAGUUAAUUUGAUAAAAAUCGAACCAAUCCGGUCCAUGUACACCCGUCUAGAAGUACUACUACUAGUUUCGGAUUCGCCCACAAAAUGCGACUGUGAUGUGCAAAUGACGUGCACUGUACCACCGAAAGCCGAAAUGCAUUUAGCUUAAUUAUAGCUUAAGGUAAUAGAGUAAUUAAUAAGGCUAGCUAGCCAAUAUACUUAAAGAUGUUUACUAUCUGUUAGUAGUAUAAUUUAUUGAUAAUUUUGCUUAUCGCGAGUUAAUUUGAUUCAUUUUUAAGCAAAAUUGGAUUGUAUUAACCCAAUAUUUUGAAUUAAAAUUUAGAUAUUCAGAAAUUAUAUAAAAAAUAAUAUAGGUUGUAAUUCUUCCCAUGUUAAUAUGAUGAAAAAAUAUAUCUUAAAAUAUUAGUCAAAAUUUAUAUAGUUUGAAUCUUAGAAAACGAAAGUGCCACAUAAAUUGAACAGAUGAAUAGUUGAUUUGCAUUCCACGCUAUGCCAGAUAGGUUUCACACGUUCAGAAAAUGGUGGGCGAGGCAGAAAGGUAGCCGUCAGAGCUAACCUUAAGUUGGCGAAUACCUUUUUUGCCAUAGUUCGGACAAGAGUAUCACGAGUUUGAAUAACCAUUAAUAUUAAUUCUGAACAGAUUGGAAGUUAGUUUUAAGGUUUCAAAUAUGUUUUUGUUGAUGGUAAUGGAAGUUGCUAUAGAGAUUUUGGUAAGUUUUGGUUAUGAGAUUUUGGUGUAGGGCUGUAAUAUUGUAUUUUUAUUACAAGGAGAAAGAAGAAGUGGAGAACAAAUGUAUUAUACUAUUGUUUACCCUAAAAAUUGGGUAACAAUUAAACUUAUAAUGUGAUUUUAAGGAUAUGUGAUUUCACCUAAUAUCAAUUGAUAAACAUAAAGAUAAGUGAUGCAAAUUGACAAUAAUAUAAACAAAUCAGUGUUUGGACAGAACCCUCGAGAUUGGACACCCUCGAGCUAGUUAUGCAAGAAUAGUUAAGGGCACAAUAAGCUGAUGAACAAGAAAGUAAACUAAGAAAUAUUAUAUUACUUUAAUAUUCGUGAAUGUAGGUGUUUACAAAAUGAUUGGGGCCUUCUUUAUAUAGCAGAUGAGUCCUAGUUAUGGUACAAUUCUAUUUACAGAAGUAAAUCCCAUGAUUAACUAGGUAACUGCCCUUGAUUUGAUCUGUUCCAAGAUAGACGCCAUGAUCUCCGGUCAAUCACGGAUAUCUUGCUUUCCCGUUACUGCACUUUGCUCGAAGUCUGUCAUAUUUGGUCUCGAUCACUGCUGGCCUCGAUCUCGAUAGGCAUUUCGAUCUUCGAAUUGGCUAUAUGUCUUCGUGCUCUGAUAUGAUUCAUUACGAGGCUGACCCUCGAUCCAAUUUCGUGCUCUCGAUCAAAUAGCAAAAUCGGGUAGGCCCGAUGUUAACCGUAUACAGAUAGUCCCAUCGUUUCUUGGAGUGUAAUGAGAAGAAACGAAUUGAGCCUACGAUUUUGUACCUCGAUCCAUCAUGACGUCAUCCUUGUGAGGUAAGUGACGUAAGCGACCGAAACGUCCCGUCGGUUCAAUUCCAAAAUCAUUAAUGAGUGUCAGUUGGCGGUCGCCCACUAGUGCCUUUGAACAGUCGCUGUGAAUUUUUAAAUAGGUCUUCUUCUCACUUCCUCAAACUUUACUUUGGAUUUCUCUAAUACCAAUCUUCAAAAUUUCUUUGUGUUCUUCAAGUUUAUCUGCAAAUCUUUAAAGUUUUCCUCACCUUCUAAGACUUCUCGUUCCACUCCGUUACCAAACCUUAUCCUCUUCUCUUUUCUUUACACAAAAAUGGCGAAAACAUCAAAAACUGUUCCCCGGAAAGAAAAAGCCUAUUCGUCGCGAUCAGCAGGUGAUAAAACGCCGGUGGACCCACGCCCUGAGGAGUGUGUUCCCGAGGGAGGGUGCGAUCUCACUUUCGACUUCAGAAUUGAGAAAACCUCCUCCAUCCCCGGUCGGUGUGAACCCAUGUCGAGAUACAUAUGCUCGAUAACUAAAAGAGACCUUGAGCAGGUCAAGAAAGACUGCAACUGGGACAAGAAAGAGGUGGUGGUCCCGACCCCUGAGGAAGAUAUCACUACCCACGUGAAUGGGUUCCUAAGUGUUUACACUUUCCCUUUCAUGCUGGGACCUGUUAACCUUGUCAUCCUCGAUUUCUUCCGCUAGUACCAAAUAACCCUCGAUCAGAUCCACCCUUCCUUAGGCGGAUUGUCCUUUUGUUUCGGUUUUUUUCGAACAAAAAGAAAGGGAUGCCUUUUACCCUUGAUCAUCUCAUCAGACUAUACAAGCCCCAUCUUUUCCGAGGCGGACUGAUAAAGCUCCAGUGUCGAGCUAUCAAGGUAUUGUUCUCGAGUAUAGACGAGGACAAGGACAGAGGGUGGAUGGAUCGAUUUGUCCGAGUGAAGACUUCCGACCUAAUUUCGCCCGAGAAGAUGCAUUUCUUGAGAAGUGGAACAUGAAGCGUAAGUUUGAUCCUUCCUCCAGCUUUUUAUUUACCAUUUUGUUUCCUUUACUUCCUUGUACUAACAUCCCUUUAUGUGAUGUAGCGGUUGCUUGGAUGCCCGGCAUGAUUCCAAACCUCGAAAGUUGGGUUCGGACCCUAGCCUCGGCCUCUUCGUACGCUGAGCACUCAUGGAACGACUUAGCAAGGGGCCGAUGGGAGGCUAAAAAUCACAGUAAUCCUUCCCUUUUAUGUACUUAAUGGCCUUAAAACAUUUUUCUUUUAAACUUACCUAGCUCCCUCUUGUGCAGGCCUGGUUAAACUGUUAUGAGGCCUCCGUCCGGGGAGGAGGAGGUUUCACCCCCGGUCCUGAAGCUGUCGAAGGAGAAGAAGAGGAAAAGUAUCUCGCCCUCCGAUACUCCAAAGCCUAAGAAGAGCAAGGCUCGCAAGUCGAAGAAAGACACUGCCGCUGCCUGGAGACGUAGCCCAAAAACUACGAGAUGAAGAAGAGGAGAAAGAAGAUGUUGACUAUGAGCUGGUGGCUCGAAAGAGGGGGAGCGUCGAAUCUUCAAAGGCAGCUGAGCUGGUGAUGGUCGAGGAGGCUCAUCUUCGAACCGAGGAGAUCUCUGAAGAUGGUCUGAGCAAAGUCCCCGAGUCAUCGUAGGCUGAAGAUGUCUCCUGCCGUGACAAAUAAUUGGCAAAUGUGCUUGUCCGACGUGACGAACAAUCAACGGUUGUUCCUGAAGGGUCCAGUUUCGAGGCCCUCUAAAAAGGAGAGAGAGCCCCAAUUGUCUUGCUUGGGGCAAUCAAUAUUGAUUAUUCGCCGCCCAUUCCCAUAUUUUCUGAGGGGCAAAUUUAGGAGGCCCAGGAUUUGGAGACCCCCGAUGUGGGAAUGACACACGAAGGGGAUGACUUAUUCCGUGGCUGCUUUAUGGGGGUCGAUGAUGUUUCCGAUCUGGAUGCAUCGAUCAUUUUCGAUGAGGCUCAGCAACUCCUGAACCAGUUAGACUCCAGCCCCCGUUAUUAGUUUUACGUUUGCCUUCAUUUCCUUUUGCCUGAUUUCCUUUCUUUCUCCAUAGGCCAUGACAUUUCAUCGUGAAGCAUUUUCCAAAUCCCGAGCUGAGCUGAAACGGCAUGAGGCUGACCUCAAAAGCCUCACGGAGGAGAGAGAUUACCUCAAACUCUUCAGUGGGCAAAAAGAAAAGGAGAUCAAGGACCUCUGAGCUGAACUAGCCAAAGCUCACAAACAGCAGACUGACUUGAUCGAACAGGUAAUGAGGAAUUUUUUUAGAAGUUUGGUGUGUCGAUUCAGGGGUGGCGACUAAUACUUAGAUCCUGCUGGUUCAGCAGAACGCCAAAAAGAUCGAGCAGCUUCGCGAGGAGGCCAAAAUGAAAGAGGCAGAGACUUUGGGGUGGAAGCAGAACAUGGACCGCCUCACCUCGGAGAAAGAUACUGCUCGAGCCCAGCUAUCUUUGGCUGAGCAUCAACUCCAAAGCAUGAAGGAGGAGAGCUUGGCCUGAGCCAAUAAAAUUGAGGAGCUCGAGACUAGAUUGGUCGUCAAUCUUGCAAAGGCCACAUCUGAGGCAGGAAGAAUAAAGGCUGAAGCUGAGGCGAUGGUGGCCAUCUAUCGAGCUGAUGCUGAAGCUGCUCAAGUUCGAGCAAAGGCAGCGGCUGAUACAGCCUAGACUCGAUCAUACUGGGUCGUUGAGCAUACCAAGUUUCAGUCUCGAAGAGAGAUUCUCGAGGAGAUUCAUGCUCGUAUCUUCGACCUUGCCGCCGAUAUCGAGAAUGCAAAAAUACUUGAGGCCAAUGCUAGAGCGCUGCUUUCCUCUGAUGAUGAUGACUCCGGGAGCGCAAGUGGAUCGGAGAGCGGAUAAGAUGAAGAUGAGGCACUAAGAAUUUUUUUCUUUUUUUUUGGAUUUUUUGUGUAAGACUUUGAGUGGUCUUUGUAAAUAUUUUUGCAUAUAUGAAAAAUCCCUUUUCUUUCCGAUUUGUCUCUGAUUUCUGUUUUCCUUUGUCUUAUGAUAAUUCUUACACACUUUAGAUCUUGUGAGAAUUUUGACUCAUUUCGUUUCCUUGUGAAAUUUUUUGUCGAAAUCAGAUUGGUAUAGUAUUUAUAAUCGAGUGAGUACUCGCUCAAACUCGGAGUAGAAAAAUCCGUUAGGUUUCAGUUGAGCGAGGAUGGAUCCUCGAACCCAAUAAUAUAUUGGUCCUUAGGCUCUUGAAUCGGGCCGACAUGGCCAUAAAAGAGUGGCAUUUUUUCCCUUUUCCGGCUUAAAAAGUUUUAAUUAUAUAAUGAAUUAUUAUGCCUUAGCACAAGAUAAAUAUGUACCCAUUAGGAUUCAGUGUUAUCGAAAAGCUGCAUUAUGCCUUAGCAUAAGUUUGUUCGAGAGUUCGAAUAAUUUUGUACCUCUUAUGGUUUUUGAGGGUUGAUGUUAUAGAAACUCUUUGUAACAUUGCCGAGAGUAGCCUUUUCUAAUCGGUUUUACGAAAAUAUUCGAAGGCCUGUUUGAUUACAGAAUUCGGACGUCUCUGAACCGUGUUAGUUCGGUCGUAGCCUUUAACUUGAGAUUUUUCCUUCGGACUUGUUUCUCGAUUAUACUUCGAACUUAUUCAAAGUGUCAAUCCCCGAGUGGGGUGGCCUAUAAAAUCGAAGAUUUUCUUUUUAAGGUCUUAUAAUUUUGUAGUUUAAUAAUUUGAGCAUGCCGAUUUUCAGACAGCAGUCCCCGAGUACGGGGUUAAUUGCUCGAGCUUUAGCAGCGAUUAGCUCUUGAGCCAGUUUCCGCAAUAGAUUGUAAGUAUGAAAUUGUAAAGUAGAAAUUUCACUAAGGGAUGGUGUAGACAUGUGAUUUUUGACCCUCCCCAAGAUUUUUCAUAUUUUAGCAUAUAAAUGUUUAGUUUAGGCCUAAUAUCGCUAUUUUAAUUAGUUUUGACCCCUUUACUUUAUUUUCUCACAAAAAAUAAAAAUUAAAAAAAAUAGUUUCAUUAAGGUUUUGUAGUCUUUUUUAAUCUUGAAAAAUACCAAAAAAAUAGGUUUGCUUUAAAUGGUUAGUGUUAUUUUAAUAGUUAUUUUCUUAAGUAAGAUUAAGUAGUAUUUUUAAUAGUUAUCUUGUUUGCUAUAUUAUUUUUACAUACAAAAAGGAGGAUGAAAUAGAAUUAAUUUUUUUGGACUAAUUUAGUCUUGCUUGUAGCCCAAUUAAACCAAACUCUUAGCACAUUAACUCAAAAGCCCAAACCUAGAUACCCCUUUAGCAUAAUAUACAAGAAAAAUCAAAAUAAAAAACCUAGACCUAGACUUUAGCACAUCAGCCGUUUUUUACAUGGAAGGGACUCUUCAUCUUCUUUAGAGAAAACCCUAGAGAACCUAAUCUUGAAGACCAAGCAGCCACGAGAGAUACAACUCUAAAAAAAACCUAGCACCAGCAGUUCCGGCCGAUCCCCCGAACCCUAGAACUUCUACACCUCGCCCAAAUGACCCUUCAACUCCUCCUACACAGAACCAGCGAGAACGGACCCUCUCAUCUCUCUUGAUCUCUGAGAGCAACGAGCAGUAGAAUACCAUCCCCAAUAGAGAACGACCUCCCUCCCUCGUUGCACUUUCGUUCUGUUCUAUCUCGCCAACGAGCUGGCCAAAAUCCAACAGGCUUUCAUGGAGGUCGUUCCAAAGCUCCAAGAAGAAGAAACAGCCGUCGUCCAAACCUCCAACCAACGAUAGCCGCUCCCUCACCACAAACAGCCCGAAGCAGCUCCAAACCGCCAGUAACUGUCAUAGCAUCCGUUGGCUUCAUUGUUUGGUUUAAUUCGAUUUUCCGGCGAGUAUUGUUCUUCAUCUCCUUCUCCGACAGCCAUUGCUAAUCCAACUGACCCUGUUCUUGGCUUCUAGAUAUGGUCGGUUUUACAUUUUUUGGCGAUUUCCAUUAAAACGGGUGGAGAGUGUUGUUUGAGUUGAGUUUUGCCGGUUCGAGGUUCGGAUCAAUAGCUCGUUUGUUUUGAUUUGCUGUUUUCUUGAGAUCUUACUUCAUUGAUUCAUGGCAGAAAAUACGCAGCAAUAAGGUUCAUUUUCCUUUCCGAUAUUGUUCUUCUCGCUAAUGUUUUGGAUCGUUUUGUAUUGAUUUAAUUUGUAUGAUUGGGAUGAUUUUUGUUCUUAGUUUUCUUUGUUGGGACAUUACUCUUGUUGAUUACGUUUCCUCCUAGUCCAUUACUGUAAUUUUCUUAGCAAAUUAUAUUGUUAGUCUCAAUAAUAAUUUAGUUUUUCUUUCUCUAUUUUGAGUAGUUUCCUUGGUAAGCAAUUAUCUGAAAUUAGCUUUUAGGAUAAUGAAUAAUGAAUCUCGUAGUUUACUUUAGACACGUAAUUAAAGCAUCACGACUAUGAGUAUGGUUCUCGUAGCAUGGUUGUGAUACUUAAUCUCAAAUUAGCUUUAAAUAUGAAUAUCUGUAGUUGAAUGCAUUUCGUUUAAAAUAAAUUGAGGUGCGCCAUACACAAACAAAAUUCAUAUUCUAUGGCCCUCAUAUUGGUUAUCUUAACUAGUGUAAAAAUGCCUUGAAUUUUCGUAGUUUGCUUUAGGUGUGUUAAUUAAAUAAUUAUCAUAGCUACGGGUACGGUUCCCGUGACGUGGUCGUGACACUUAAUUUCUAAAAAUCCGGGGUACAUUUAUGUGACCCGGCCACAAUUUAAUCUUGUUAAUAAAAUAAACAUAUUGUAGAUCGUUGGUACGGUUCCCGUGACAAGAUUUGCAAUGUCUAAUUAAAUAAAUAUUAGUAUAAUAACUGAAUAAUUAAAAGCGGUUUAAAAGGAAUAAAAUGCACAUAGGUUUAAAAAUAUUUUAAAAUUAGACAAAUAGGUCAAUAAUAAUAGUUGAGCGACCGUGCUAAAACCACGGAACCCGUGAAUGCCUAACACCUUCUCCCGAGUUAACAAAAUUCCUUACCCGAAUUUCUGUGUUCGCAGACCAUAAAUAAGAGUCAAACUUCCUCGAUUCGGGAUUUUAAACCGAUGACUUGGGACACCAUAAAUUAUCCCAAGUGGUUACUCUGAACUUAAAUAAAUAAAUAAAUCCCAUUUCGAUUGUCACUUAAAUUGGAAAAAACUCCCUUAUACCCUUUCCGGGGGUAAGAAAAAGGAGGUGUGACAGCUCUGGCGACUCUGCUGGGGAUAAGAACCCAGAAUCUCUGGUUCAGGGUUCAAGAAUUCGAGCUUAGAAUAAUUGUUAUAUUUGGUUUUUAUUGAUUAUCUGAUUUUUAUCACAUGCUUGGGCCUAAUGUGCUAAAUGUUGCUUUUUACCGCUUUGAUAUUAUCUGAACUGUAUAUAAACUGCUACGAAACCCUUCUCUUCUCAUCUUCGGGGAUGUGCACGCUAGCGUGACUCCUUUUCUGUUAGUGUCAUACCUUNNNNNNNNNNNNNNNNNNNNNNNNNNNNNNNNNNNNNNNNNNNNNNNNNNNNNNNNNNNNNNNNNNNNNNNNNNNNNCUCGAGUUGUCCGCUCGGGUACACAAGUCUAGAAUAAUAUAACCAGGUUUUAAACCUAGAAUAACUCAGCCUCAUGUCGGAUCCCUAGUAAGAACGCUUGUUUAAUCCGUCUAGGAUAGGUGUACCCAAAAUAACAGACUAUCUUGAUGCAUCUUUGUGCUACAUGUUGCAUUUCUUCAAGGGUAAAAAGGUCAUUUGGCGUACCAAUGAUAGUUGAGGGCAAAUGAGAAAAGAAAAAAAUGAGAAAGAAAAGAGGGUGAAGUGUGAAAAUAAAGCAAGUAGGGCCUAGUUAUGUUUUUCUUUUACAUUUUUUAAGAAAAAGACAAAAAAUGAACAUGAAAAGAAAAAUCCAAAAAGAUUUUGCAUUUCCCUUUAUUUUUCAAAAAAAAAGACAAAAAUAUAUUUUCUCUAAGUUAUUUAUUAAUUUUAUUUCUCGACCGUAUCUGAUCUUACCGAACUACGCAUAUCUGAUUCUCGUCUUUCGGAGCGUGAUACGUAGGCAACCCACAUAGGGUUCUGUCUUCUUAGUGAGUCUUAGGUCCUUGGCUUAGCGGGGUCUUAGCCAAAUCUUGCAUGUCUAGUCAAUUUUGGCCACAUUGGUCAUUUUGCAAAAUAGGGCUAUUUUCACAAAGUGGUUUGUUUAACUGUGUUUGGAGAGUCUCCAAUCUGCAAUUAGGUGUCUCUUUACUUUAGAGUCCAUCCUUGUCAAAUUUGCAUGUCUACCGCUUUUGGCUGCAUAGGCCGUUUUGCAAAAUAGGGCUAUUUUCGCAAAAGUGGUUCAAUUAACCCAUGUCUUAGAGUCCUAGGUCCACAACAAGGUGUCCUCUAUGUUUAAGGCCCAUUCUGUUGAAUUUUCAUGCUUAGCCGUUUUUUUGGCCACAUUGGCCAUUUCUACAAAAUCAGUCAUUUCUGCAAAAGUAAUUUUUCCAUGUCUUAGAGGUCACCUUUGUUGAGUUUGCACUUGUAGCAGCCUUUUGACCACAUAGACUAUUUUGCACAAUCAUAUCUUGUAUGUGUCCAACAAGAAGAGUUAUUGUCUCACAUAGCGUUCUAGGUCUUUAACUUUAUUUGGUCUUAGUUUUCUCAUAUAGGUGUGGAUUUAUUUAUCAGAGUUCGAGCAUGAUAGAUACCCCGGGACCAUCCAGUCAGGAUCGCUCAUUCAGGAGUUGCUUAAAUAGAUUUUUUUUAUUUUUAUUUUUUAUGUUUUGAGUCUGUUUUUCUUUUUAUGUCGUCUUUUACCUUCUAGCUUUGUACAAUAAUGUCGAGUCUUUUGUUAUUGUAUAAUCUAUUUUGUAUUUGAAAAAGUGUGGUAUAACUCAAAAAUCCAAAAAAAAAAAGAAAUUUUGCAUUUUAUAUUUCCGUUAGAAGUUUUCUUUAGAAUACUAAUUCUAGAAAUGAAAAAAAAAGAAUUUAUUUGAGGUGGUUUUCCUUAGGAAAUAAAAAAAAUUGCUUCUAUAUUUUCUUUAGUUAUUAAGACUAAAAAUUCACACACAAAAAAAAGAAUUUUCUUUUAGUACAUCUUUAAAAGUUUUCUUUAAGACAUUAAUUCCGAAAAUCCAAAAAGAUUUUCUUUUGAGGUUCUUCUUUGAGAAAUUAAUGAAAAAUGAAUUUUAAUUUUUUUUUACUAGAACUUUAGGAAAUUGUACAUAGAAGAAUAAAAUAACAUACUUUAUUCUUUGGUUUAUUUUCAGAGUUUCUCCCUUAAUUAAAAAUUGAAAUCCAAAAACAUUUUUUUAUCUUGUUCAUUUCCUGUUUCGAAAUCUUUCCUCAGGAUAUCAAACGAAAAUUCAAAAUAUAUUUCUUUGGUUUAUUUUUUAGAUUUUCUUUCUAAAAAAAAGAAUCAAAAAAAUAUUUUCUCUUCUAGGAUUUUCCCUUAAUAAUUUCUCAUAGAAUAUUUUUUUUAAAAAAAAAAAGAAGAAGAAAACAAAUAUAUGCUCAUUAAGCUUGAGUUUAGAAUAAGUUAUAGAACAUUAAAUAUAGAAAAUUAAAAAAAAGGAUUUGCUUCUUUUGGUUCUCUUUUCUCAUCAGAGUAGUCAUUAAGGUAAAAAGAAAAGAAAAAGAGAACGUUAGUUUGUUUACUUUAUUCUCGAUCUUCCCGAACUACGCAAAGAUCUGAUUCAUGCGGCGUCAUGAUACGUAGGCAACCUACAUAGGGUUCGAUCGAAUCAUUUUUUUAUUUUUAUUAAAAGAAAAGGGAAAAAAGAAGGAAACACAAAAAAAAGAGGUGAAAUUAUGGGAUGUGAGAAAUGAGAGGAAAGAAAAGAGUGAUAAUUAGAAGAAGAAGAAAAAAGAGGAAGGAAAAUGAGCAAGCCAAGAAGUGUUAGAAAAGAAAAGAAAAUAGGAGAUUGAAAUGAAUAAAAUUGCGAUGAUGCCAAGUGACCUUGUGACCCUCGAAGUUAUUCUUGAACCGUUAAUUGUUGCUAGGUGCAUUACAUGCAAUGUGAUAUUUUUAGCUGUUAAAUGUCCUAAUGCUAACAGGAUGACCCCAUUUUGUUCUUUUUGUUAUCUUCAUUGAGAAGAAGGGUGGUUGGUUUGUGGUUCUUAAACUGGUAACUCUUCCAUACAAUACAAGGUCAAAGAGCAAGGUAGCCAUGACUAGCAAAGACUUGAACACGAGAGUUGUUGGCCCGUCGAGGGAGUUUGUGGAGUCGGAGUCUGAAUUGAAAGAGGAGGUCCAAAGGGUGAAACAACAGAUGUCAGAAAUGUAUAAGUCUUGGAUCAGGGGGUAUCAUCCACCUUCAUUCCCCACUAACUACACUGAAAACCCUGCAACUAUCCACCACUAUCACAAGCCUAGGUUCCUACUGCUGUUAAUAUCUCCCCACAACCUUUUCACACUCCACCCCUCAAAAGCACAUCAUAUCCCGCUCCUUUGGCCACUCAUGCUCUUGUAGCUCCUCCUCCAGCUACGUUUCCUCGAUCCUCUAACGAGACUGUGUUCAAACUCCCCGAUGCCCAACACUAUGCCUCAUAACCAACUUUCAAAGUCUCGGAUCCAUAUUCUCACUCUCCUCAUUUUGAGGCUCCCAAUGAAACUAAAAAACCUACUAAGACAGUGGAGCAAGAUGAGAUAUCCAGGAAGGUAAAAAUCUUAGAGCAGUCUUUAAAAAACAUGCAAGGGAUAGGGAGCCAGAUGAGCGUGGCUUACAAUGACUUGUGUUUGUUUCCUGACAUCCAACUGCCAACUGGGUUUAAGAUGCCAAAGUUUGAUUUGUAUGACGGGCACGGAGAUCCCGUGGCCGUUUUGAGAGGUUACUGCACUAAGAUGAGAGGCGCCGGUAGGAAAGACAAAUUAUUGAUGAUGUAUUUCAGUCAGAGUCUGAGUGGGGUAGCUCUGGAGUGGUACACCCGCCAAGACGUUAGCAAGUGGUACGCAUGGGACGAUAUGGCUCAGGUCUUUGCCCGGUACUUUCAGUACAAUAUAAAAAUUGUCCCGGAUCGCAUGUCCCUCACCAAGAUAGAAAAGAAGCCUAACAAAAGCUUUAGAAAAUACGGGCUUAGAUGGAGAGAGCAAGCGGCCAGAGUCAAUCCCCCGAUGGAAGAAAAAGAGAUGGUCGAGUACUUUCUUCAAGCUCAAGAGCUAACUUACUUUGGGCAUUUGAUCACGGAUAUAGGUAGGCCUUUUAAUGAUGUGGUAAAAAUAGGAGAAAUGGUAGAAGAUGGGUUGAAGUCGAGCAAGAUUAUGAGUUAUUAUGCUUUGAAAGCAACAACACAAGCAAUUCAAAAUGACAAAGGAAGCUUGUUGGGUCAGAAGGAACACGAUGAUGUUGCCAUGGUUGUUUUAGAGUCACGACAUGGUCCAAAGGGUCCGCCUCAUCAAUAUACCCAUCCUCAACCCCAACCCCAAACUUAUGCCCGAGCUCCACAUAAUCCACCUCAUUAUUAUCCUCCGAACAAUGUCCGGUCAUCUGUAAAACCACCAGAUCACUCCCUAUGGCGAGCGCCAGCACCGCAUAAUGCAUUCUUGACUUCACAACAUUUCCGAGCACCCAAAAACCCUAGAAAAUAGGUGCAGAGAGGGAAACAAAGGCAAAGAAAUAGUUUCACGCCAAUCGGGGAGUCCUACACAAACUUGUUUGAAAAGUUGAAGCAUUCUGGCCUAAUUGAGCCGCUCCUCAGCUAUACUCCAGACCCAUAUGCAAAAGGUUUUGAUCCUUCUAUACGAUGCAUGUAUCACUCUAAUGUCCAAGGGCAUAACAUUGAAGAUUAUCGUGCUUUGAAAAGGGAAAUAGAAAGAAUGAUUCAAGAAGGGGUAAUUGUGAUUAAGGACAAUGACAUGGAGCAUGCGAAUCCUCUUGGGAACUUGUUGACUGAAGUUAAUGAUAUUGAAGUUAUUAAUGGUCUUAGAAAUAUUGAUGUGGAACCUAGUGGCUAAGAUGUCGUGCUUGGUAAUUGGAAAGACGCUCUAUCUUUUGGCUAGCUGGGGAGGAAUCUUGGUGGUUUAUUUUGUUGUCAUUUCUAUUGUCCGGGUUAUUUUCAGGGUUGUAAUCCGGAUAUUGUCUUGUGACUCAAACCCUUCUAUCAUUUUAUUUCGCCUAGUUUGUUUAGUCGUAAUAGCUCGUUUAGUAUUGUCUGGUUUUGUUCCAGGAUUGUAACCCCAACUUAUUUUACUUGUUUUAUUGUUCAAACCCUUUCACCAUCUGUCUAAUGCAAUUUCCUGUUUUUUGUUAUUUCUAGUCAGUGUUUGUUUAGUUCUCUUUCCCUUUUAUAGUUCUUCUCCUGCUGACUCUAGUGACAUGGCAUGCACGAGUAAUUCUCAGCAUGGUCUUAAAAGUUAGUUUAGUCAUGUAGCAAUGAAACAAUUUUGAAGAUGAUAGGGACAUUUGAGGGAAAUAAGUAAAGGCAUUGUGAGAUCACUUCAAGCCCGAAUUGUAUGAAACUGGGGCAAAUAGAACAUAAAGAAACACUAUUGAAACGCAUCCUGCCGCAUCACGUUGAAGCCAAAGGCAAGUUUGCCCCAAAUUGGCAGGGGCCGUUCGUGGUAACGAGAGUGUUGUCCAAUGGUGCUUUGUAUUUAACAGAUGUAGAAGGAAAAUGUGUGGAUAUGGUCAUCAAUUCUGAUGCAGUCAAAAGAUAUUAUGUAUGAUUUCUUUGGUUUGUUUAAUUGUGUUGUUUGUAUUUGGUAUGCUUUGAAGAUUGGAAUGACGAAGGCAUUUUAUUCUGUUAUCUAAACUCUUUAUUCUUUGUUACCCCUUUGAGCCUUAUUUAUUUUCUUUCAUAUCCCUCUUUUGGAAUCAGAAGCAGAGUUUAGAAAUAUGAUACACGAAAAAAGGAGAGAAAAGAAAAAAAAGAAAAAGAGAAAAAGAGAAAGAAAAAAUGAAAAAAAAGAGUAAAGAAAAGAAAAGAAAAGAGAAAAAGAAAAAAAGAGAGAAAAGUACAAAACAAAGCAAUUCCUAUGACAUGAACUACGUUCGACCUGAUUUCUUUUAAGGAUACAUAGGCAGCCUCACGGUUCGGUCCCAUCAAAAUAAAAUUUUAAAAGUCCCAAAGAAAAGAAACUGGGACAGAAGUUGUGGUUGACGCAAGAGAUCUGAUUCUAAAAGUUAUAAUUUUGAGCCCUUUUAAGCUGUUUUUGAGCCUUUAUGAUACCCUUUGUUUCUAAUCCUAUCCAAAAGCCUACACUACGGUCCAAAGAAAGACCUUCCGAUCAAUCUUUGAGUAGUGCCAAGUCAAGCAAGUUAGAGGUAUGUUCUCCUCAGGGGCGACACUCCGUUCUACAAAAGGAAAGCAAAAAUGAGAGAGCCUUGUCAGUGAAAAUCUUCACAGGCACCAUAAGGCGACGGUAAGUUGAGGGAAAGAACAAAAUAAGAGAGGCUUGAUGGUAAAAACCCUUCGGGCAUUACAAGUCGAAUAAGGACCAUGAAUCAGAUAGGAUAAUCGGAGCAUUGAAGCCGAGUUUCACGACUCAGAGGUACAAUAGGAGUUGAAUAUUAGACUUGCUUGACAUAUUAGGCCACUUAAUCAAAAUGUGCAUGUCAUGGUCAUUAGAGUUGGUGCCCACAUCUGAUAAGUUUCUACUUUAUAAUUUUCUUGUUAGGUAUCAUCUCUUUCCAUUGUCCCUUACUUUGUUCCUUUUGUCUUGUUUACUUCCUCUUCUUGAGUCUGUUUGGUCAAAACAAGUAAGAAAUGACUUCAAAAUUUGCCACCAACUUUCCAAUUGCACAAAACGGGAUCUGGCUAGCACAUCAAAGCGACAUAAGUCAGGAAAGAGCGGUAUACGCAUUGAAUGGAUAACAAUCGACGUGCUUUGGGAUUCAUGAGAAAUGCAAAGGUUGGGUAAAUGUCAAUUCAUGAGCGAAAUGCAACAGAUAGAAGGUAUAGAGUUUGAAUGAAUCAGAAGUAUUUUCUAUGAUAAAGGUGAUAGAUAAAGUGGUUAGUCAAUAAACAGGCAAGGUCUUUCAAGUUGAAAUCAAGGUUAUCAUGGCAAGUGAAGGAGCAAUCGCCCGCAAAGUCAAGGCUACAAACCAACCACCAUAUUUAAACUCACAAGUUUUCUUUGUCUGAAACAUGGAUGAAAUCUAUGUUCUUAUCAAAGCUUGGAAGCUUAAAUUUUUCAGGUGUAAUGCCCCAGUUCUGCUUACGCAAAGGCUAUUGAGAAGAUCACACAUCACCCCUAGGAGAAACACGUCCAAGUCUGGGGUUUUCAAGUUAUAUUUUGUUGUAGGAGAUGCACUUCCUAAAUUGAGUUCACCCUUAGGAUAUGCACUUCCUAGCCUGAGUCUUUAAGGUUAUAUUUUUCUUAGGAGACGCACUUCUUAAAUUAAGAUUUUUUACCAUUAAGAGGCACACUUCCUUGUUUAGAUCAUAUGAGUUUUAGUUAUUGAAGUUUUCACCCCUACGAAAACGCACUUCCUAGUCUUGGUCAUUUAAAUUCACCCCUAGGAGACACACGUCCUAGUUGGAGUCAUUGAAAUUUUACCCGUUAAGAGACGCACUUCCUAGCAGGGAUCUUUCAGAUUAUACUAUUUAGGAGACACACUUCCUAGCUUUGGUCAUUUAAAUUCAUUCCUAGGAGACGCACUUCCUAGCUUGAGUCAUUGAUGUUUCACCCCUAGGAGACACACUUCCUAAUCUGGGUCUUUCAGGUUAUAUUUUUGUUUCAUGAGACGCACUUCCUAAAUUGAGUUUCACCCCUAGGAGACGCACUUCCUAGUAUAGGUAUUUCAGGAUACACUUUCAGGAGACGCACUUUCUAAAUUGAGUUUCACCCCUAGGAGACGGACUUCCUAAAUUGAGUUUCACCCCUAGGAAACGCACUUCCUAGUCUGGGUCUUUCAAGAUACACUUUCAGGAGACGCACUUCCUAAAUUGAGAUUUCACCCCUAGGAGACGCACUUCCUAGUCUGGGUUGUUCAGGAUAUACUUUUAGGAGAUGCACUUCCUAAACCGAGAUUUUACCCCUAGGAGACGCACUUCCUAGUGUGAGUCAUACAAGUUUUACCCCUAGGAGAUGCACUUUCUAGUUUGGUUCAUUCAAGUUUCACCCAUGGGGGACAGACUUCCUGAUAUGGGGCAUUCAGUUUUUAUUUUUAGCAGACGCAUUUGCUGGUCAAAGUUUCUUGGUUUUACUCACAGGAGACGCACAUCCUAGUCUAGUCUUUAGUUUACUCUCAUCAUUGCAUCAAUAGUAUAAGUAGUUUACAAUAUUGCUAACAACUCACAAAUCUUCCUAGUGCAAACUAGGGCAGAAAAUUUUGUUUGUUUUGUUUGUUUUGAUUGCAGGCACCCACAUGGAGAACAAGUGAACACAGAAAAUUCAGCAAUCAGGCGCCCACCUGAAGAACAAGGAAAGACAGUUCAAGUUUCAAGGGAAAGCAGUUCCGAGAGAACACAGAAAGUUUCAGCAAUCAGGCGCCCACCUAGAGAACAAGGGAAGACAGUUCAAGUUUCAAGGGAAGACAGUGCAAGUUUCAAGGGAAAGCAGUUCCGAGGGAACACAGAAAGUUUCAGCAAUCAGCACCCACCUGGAGAACAAGGGAAGACAGUUCAAGUUUCAAGGGAAAACGAUUCAAGUUUCGAAGGAAGACAGUUCAAGUUUUGGCAAUCAAGCACCCGCCUAGAAAACAAGGGAAUUCACUUCAGAAUGCAAUUCAAGUCAGCAACAAAAAAAGCUCACAGCAAGAAUGCGAGUCAGCAGUCCGAGAUGAUUAACGAAAGUUAGUCACAAUCCAGAAUAAAAAAAGGCAAGAAGUGAAUCCAAAUGCAGAAGUUGAUGAAAGAUGUGAGCUACUCAAGACAUGACUGAAGUCACAAGCACGGUAUGUCCGGUUUUGAUCUGAAAAGCUGAAGAAGAAUGGACUAGCACCUGCAACUAGCAAACAUCAGGGUUCAAAUCCAAAGUCUGCAUGAAGAACCAUUCAACACUCAAGAUCAAGCUUCAGAAGACUUAUAUAUAGGAAUCUUGUAACUCAUAGUUGACAGGCUUAGUUAGUAUUUUUUUUUUGAUGUAAUAACAGGAUCGCGGACCGGAACCUCGACGGAAUGACACCUCGAUCGGCUCUCCACCUCGGUACUCCAUCACUCUUUCUAAUUCUGAACUACACGUGGCCUGAUUCCUUUAUAGCCAAGGGCAUGUAGGCAGCUCAGAUACCAGGGCUCGGUCACAUUCUCUUCCUUUCUCUUAGUUUUUGGUCUCCCUAAAUAAGGGUCGGGUCAAAGAGGGGCAGCUGUAGACAUGUGAUUUUUGACCCUCCCCAAGAUUUUUCAUAUUUUAGCAUGUAAAUGUUUAUUUUAGGCCUAAUAUCGCUAUUUUAAUUAGUUUUGACCCUUUUACUUUAUUUUCUCACAAAAAAUGAAAAUUACAAAAACAAAUAGUUUCAUUAAGGUUUUGUAGUCAUUUUUAAUCUUGAAAAAUACCAAAAAAAUAGGUUUGUUUUAAACGGUUAGUGUUAUUUUAAUAGUUAUUUUCUUAAGUAAGAUUAAGUAGUAUUUUUAAUAGUUAUCUUGUUUGCUAUAUUAUUUUUACAUACAAAAAGGAGGAGGGAAUAGAAUUAAUUUUUUUGGACUAAUUUAGUCUUGCUUGUAGCCCAAUUAAACCAAUCUCUUAUCCCAUUAACUCAAAAGCCCAAACCUAGACACCCCUUUAGAAUAAUAUGCAAGAAAAAUAAAAAUAAAAACCCUAGACCUAGACUUUAGCACAUCAGUCGUUUUUUACAUGGAAGAAACUCUUCAUCUUCCUUAGAGAAAACCCUAGAGGACCUAAUCUUGAAGACCAAGCAACCAUGAGAGAUACAACUCUAAAAAAAACCUAGCACCAGCAGUUCCGGCCAACCCUCCUUCCCCGAACCCUAGAACUUUUACACCUCGCCCAAACGACCCUUGAACUCCUCCUACACAGAACCAGCGAGAACGUACCCUCUCAUCUCUCUCGAUAUUUGAGAGCAACGAGUAUUAGAAUAGCAUCCCCAAUAAAGAACGACCUCCCUCCCUCGUUGCACUUUCGUUCUGUUCUAUCUCGCCAACGAGCUGGCCAAAAUCCAACAGGCUUUCAUGGAGGUCGUUCCAAAGCUCCAAGAAGAAGCAACAACCAUCGUCCAAACCUCUAACCAGCGAUAGCCGCUCCCUCGCCACAAACAGCCCGAAGCAGCUCAAAACCGCCAGUAACUGUCAUAGCGUCUGUUGGUUUCAUUGUUUGGUUUAAUUUGGUUUUCCAGCGAGUACUGUUCUUCAUCUCCUUCUCCGGCAGCCAUUGCUAAUCCAACUGACCAUGUUCUUGGAUUCUAGAUCUGGCCGGUUUUACAUUUUUCGGCGAUUUUCAUUAAAACGGAUGGAGUUUUGUUUGAGUCUAGUUUUGCCGGUUUGAGGUUCGGAUCAAUAGCUCGUUUGUUUUGAUUUGCUGUUUUCUUGAGAUCUUACUCCAUUGAUUCAUGGCGGAAAAUACAUAGCAAUAAGGUUCAUUUUCCUUUCCGAUAUUGUUCUUCUCGCUAAUGUUUGGAUCGUUUUAUAUUGAUUUAAUUUGUAUGAUUGGGAUGAUUUUUGUUCUUAGUUUUCUGUAUUGGGACAUUACUUUUGUCGAUUACGUUUCCUCUUAGUCCAUUACUGUAAUUUUCUUAGCAAAUUAUAUAGUUAGUCUCAUUAAUAAUCCA
rnacentral:lncRNA from 1 species